rnacentral:rRNA from 1 species
GACGAACGCUGGCGGCGUGCUUAACACAUGCAGGUCGAACGGUGACGGCCAAGCUUGCUUGGUCUGAUCAGUGGCGAACGGGUGAGUAACACGUGAGUAACCUGCCCCUUACUCUGGGAUAAGCCUUGGAAACGAGGUCUAAUACCGGAUAUGAGACGUACAGGCAUCUGUUGCGUCUGGAAAGAUUUAUCGGUGAGGGAUGGGCUCGCGGCCUAUCAGCUUGUUGGUGGGGUGAUGGCCUACCAAGGCGACGACGGGUAGCCGGCCUGAGAGGGCGACGGGCCACACUGGGACUGAGACACGGCCCAGACUCCUACGGGAGGCAGCAGUGGGGAAUAUUGCACAAUGGGCGCAAGCCUGAUGCAGCGACGCCGCGUGAGGGAUGACGGCCUUCGGGUUGUAAACCCCUUUCAGCAGGGAAGAAGCGCAAGUGACGGUACCUGCAGAAGAAGCGCCGGCUAACUACGUGCCAGCAGCCGCCGUAACAC